rnacentral:snoRNA from 1 species
UGACAGUGAUGAGCUUUUUAUCCCGAAACUGAUCAUCUGAUGAGACAAAUCUUACGGAUCUGAUUACUGAGUC